UACGUAGGCAGCGAGCGUUGUUCGGAGUUACUGGGCGUAAAGAGUGCGUAGGCGGUUUUCUAAGUUUGGUGUGAAAUCUCCCGGCUCAACUGGGAGGGUGCGCCGAAGACUGGAAGGCUAGAGUAUGGGAGAGGUAAGCGGAAUUCCUGGUGUAGCGGUGAAAUGCGUAGAUAUCAGGAGGAACACCGGUGGCGAAGGCGGGUCUCUGGGCCGUAACUGACGCUGAGGAGCGAAAGCGUGGGGAGCGAACAGG
rnacentral:rRNA from 1 species